rnacentral:lncRNA from 1 species
AUCAAUAGUUGGUUUUCGUCGACUUGUUAAUAGGAAAUAGAAGUUAUCCAUGAAUGUGUAACUGAUAUUACUAUUCAAAAAAUUCUGAAAAAACUUAAAAAAUCAUUGCAAAUAUUGAAGGCAAUUUAGAGGUUUUCAAGACGAGGCAAAGGGAUCGAAUUUCUAAAGCUUGCAAACGACUUUGAAAUUAACCAGAUAACUCCAAACAAACCUUAUUUUAAGCAGUUUCAAUCUAACGCGUACAUCUAAUAAUUCUUCUAAUAGUAUACUGAAUAACACAAUUAAUAAACAGAAUGUUCCAACUCCUUUCGACAGCUAUUAAAAUCAUGUAUACAGUGCAAAGGCAACUCUAUAUAAUUGCAAGUACUACAAAUUGCCCUUUCUCUAUCAUUUAGGUUUCCUACUAUAAAGGGACCGGUUAUGAAGAGUUUCUAAAAGAAAAAUGACCUGAAAAGGAAAAUUCACCAUCUCGUGCUAUAUACCAAACUACUCCAAAGAAAAACCCAUAGAUUAAUUAAACUAGAAAAGAAAAACCCACAUGUGGCCGCCUAAUCAUUCAUGGAUUGUUGAAUCAUUUAAAAAGAAAUCAAAAUUCACAACCAAAUUUAGCUUUUCUGACCUUUUUUUUUAUAGAUUUUUCUUCGAUUGGAGAUCGGGACCGUGGAGAGCUCGUCGGAGAGGAGAUCGGCAAUAAGAAUCUUGGCGGUGAGGAGAUCGGUAGUGAUAAACUCGUUGGCGAGGAGAUCUGCGGCGAAGGACUCACCGGCAACCCUUACACACUGAAAAGACUACUGAGUUCAUCCUCGAUUACAUUCUCCCUAAGAUUGCCAAUAAAAAAGGUAUUGCAUGGAGGAUUAUCUUUUGUAUUCUGCAAAACAAAAUUUAGAAAUAAGCACUGCAACAUUACCCCCUCCACCCUGAGAGAAUUAUGAUCCACCAAAAAGGCACAAUUAAAAAUUAAACCAAGAGAUACCCUAGGUUGUUCUUAUCCAACUAGUAAGUUAGCCCAAGAUUGCCACGACAUAUGAUACUUAGGAUCCAAUCAAAUUGAAAUCAAAUGAAACUCAUACGAUCUAUAAUAUAAGGAAAAAUGCAAACGCCCUACAUAAACUGCAUCUUUUAAAUGAGCACCUACACUUGAAAUUUUUGACUUCACUACCUAACCAUUUUUUUUUUCACAAAUUCCAUCAAUUUCAAUUUGAGCUUAACAGUUUCAGCCUACAAGUUAUAGAAUAUAGUGUCAAUUAAAAAAAUUCGACAAGUUACAGAAUUUUCAGUUUAAUUAAUCAUCAAUUGAAGACAGAGAACUCCUAAAUUAAUUUAUGCUAAUAAUUGUACUCUUCAGAUGGUACUUGUUGUUGCUGAGUGUCUAAGCAACAUAAAAAAAAUCUUCACAUCAUCGAAUUAACAACAUCGAAACAAGCAUCAUAACAUAUAAUAAUGAAACGUAUGUCGCGCUGAUCUGUGGCGAUUAAGUUUAGCUGAAUCGGCAUUAAAUUUAACAAAAUCCCCAAUAUAAUGAGCUAAUAUAAUUCAAAUCAAAACACUAGUAACAAUACCUGUUGUAAUACCACACAAUUGUUUUAUGAUACAAUCGCCAUCGACAACUCAUUUUUUUAUUUUAUUUUUCUGGGUGAUUUCAUUGUGGAGAAAAGUGAUCGAACACAUAACAUGCGCUAACAACAUCACAUUAUCAUUCAUAACUACAUUCUCUGAGUAAAAUCAUCAAACACCUAACAUGCGCAACAAAGAGCGAAAAAUUCGACCUAUGAUUGAGCAAAUUUUUCACGGCGAUCUGGGUGUUAUCCUCCAAAACGCCGUGGUAGACGAUCCCGUACCCUCCUUCUCCGAUCACGUUCUCGUCGGAGAACGUGUUCGUGGCGGCCUCGAGCUCUCGGAGAGUGUACCAAUGGCCCCACCCCAAGUGCGACACCUCCGGGGCGCCGUGGUCGCCGCUGCCCCACGACGAAGGGCUCGGCCUCUCCGGCAGAGGCGGCGGCGGCGGCGGCGGCGGCGGCGGAGGGGCGGCGACCUGCAGCGGCGGAGGAGGAGGAAGGGGAGGGGGGAGGGGAACAGGGGGAGAUCGGAGGUUGGUGCGGUGUUGGAGAGGGAGAUCGGAGUCGGAGAGGGUGAUCGGUGUCGGAGAGGGAGAGAGAGUGUUGAGGGGUGGGGGUGUUGAUCGUGAAGAGAGGGGGCGCGGUGGGGAGAGGAGGUUUUGCGCGGUGGGGGGAGGGGGCAGGGGGGUGCGCCGUGCGCGUGAGGUGGGGAGGGGGUUUUGAUCGUACUUUUUAUUUUUUUAUUUUUUUGGGGCUGGGCUUUAGUUGGGACUUGGGAUCAAACAUUUUUUUUGGGUUGAAUUUUAGUUUGAAUCAAAAAUUUUGAAUUAAGUUUCAGUUUGAAUCAAAAAUUUUAAAAAAGUAACGCUAAACCUGUAAUAAGAAAUUGGUUGUAAUUUUAUAAGUUCACAAUCAUUUUAUAAUUUUUUUAUUCUAAUACUAGAAUUCAUAUAUUAUAUGUUCGUAUAAGUAGCAUUAAUAAAUUUCUCGUUGCUUUCGUCAGUAUCUUUGAAAAAUUUUAAAACAAGAAAAAAAGAAAAGUAAAAAAAAAUCAUUUAGUGGCGAAAGUAAUAUUGCCACUUAAAGUUAAUUAAUUGAUGGCAAAUUUUUUUAUCGCCACUUAAAGUUAAUUAAUUUGUGGCAAAAUUUUUUUAUCGCCACUAUAGGUAACCAAAUAAUGGCGAUAAAAAAUUAUUUAGUGGCGAAAGUAAUAUUGCCACUUUAAGUUAAUAAAUCAGUGGCAAUUUUUUUUAUCGCCAUCAUAAAUAACGAGUUAGUGGCGACAAAAUAAUUAUUUAGUGGCGAAAGCAGUGUCACCACUUUAUGUUAAUUAAUCGGUGGCCUUUUGUUUUAUCGCCACCAUAGAUAACCAAAUAGUGGCGAUAAAAUAAUCAUUCAACGGCGAAAGUAGCAUUGCCACUUUUAGUUAACUAAUCAGUGGCAAUUUUUUUUAUUGCCACAAUAAGUAACUAUAUAGUGGCGACAAAAUUUAUCGCCACAUUAUUUUUGCCACCAAUACUGUCAAUUCUUGUAGUGGUACUAACAUCUCAAAUUUCUCAUAUUUUACAAAAGAACAACUUUUCGAAGUAUUUCAACACAAUAACAAGUACAAAAAUUCAACCAUACAAAUCUCAACCACAUUUUAAGUACAUAGAGUGAACUACAUAAUAUCAACACAUGCACUUUAAUAUGAAUAAAUUAAUAUAAUAAUAUAAAAAUUAUAUGUACAACAGUACAAACGAUAAAAAAAAUCGAAUAUAUACGAAAUCCAAAAAAUUCUAAGAAAAUAAAGUUCUCUCUAUGCUACUCCCACGCCCUCGUCGCCUACCACGUCCAUGUUGGCGUCCGCAUCCUCAACCCCAUCCUCGAAUAUACACAUCAUGCUCCAUCUCAGAAUGUACAGUCUCAAUGCCAUGCAUCUGAUCAAUAUGCUCGAUAGCGGUGCCCUCAACAACUAGCUCCAUCCCUUGUGUUUCAACGGCCGAUGGUAGCGUCACGCCCCCGCUCUACCCCGAAGCCGAUACCCAUUUGGUUCGGUUCGGGCGCGCCGGGCGGACCGCCGAGCGGACAGCACCUCCCCUGUCCGCCCAAGGCUAAAGCGACGAGAUUGUGUGCAACAAGUGCCCAGAAAAACAACUUGAUAACAUACACAAUCCAACAAUGGCGAGAGCACAACCAGUGCUAAACAUAUAAAGAGCAAGCAUCACAAGUAGUGAACAAGUGAAUAAAAGAGAGAAAUAACUAGCUAUUACAUCCAUUCCACUUUGAUACAUUUAACUACAAUUAAAGCUUCCAAAAUACAUCAUGAACUUAAAGCUUACAAUUUCCAAAAUGGCCUCACACCUAUACAUCAUCUACUCUCAAAAGGUAUAGGUAGCUCUAAUGCAAGUAGGAAAGUAACUACUACCAAUACUAGGGCGCUAAGCCCUUACCGCGGUCCUCGGCCGAAGCUCUCUCGUGUGUACCUGUUCCCCAAACCACACGGGGUGAGAACUAUAUGAAUAUAGUUCCCAGUGGGUUCGGCCGCCGACUCCGUCGAUCUACCCACUAGGUCUAAGCAGGCAUAGGAAGACGAAGACGGAAAGAUAGGUAGAUAUAUAUGAAAGCAGUAACGGUAAAGCAUAAUGUAAAGCGAUGCUAAUAUCCAACUAUGCCUCAAUCCAAUGCUAUGAAUGCAUGAACUACAUAAUAAUGUGCAACCUAUCUCAUGAUACUAUGCUUUCAACAGAAGUACAUGUAUAAACUGCAACAUAAUAGGUAGCCUAUCUCAUACUACUAUGCUCGUCUACUCAGUCACAUAGGUGAGGAUCCGCUCACUCACCGACUCGCACUCUAAACACAACGGGGAGGAUCUGCUCACUCACCCGACUCACAAUCCAAACACAACGGGGAGGAUCCGCUCACUCGCCCGACUCUCAACAUAGGUACGACAACCCAAUCUCAACUCAUAGGUGAGGAUCAACUCACUCACCCAACUCACCUGGGGAGGAUCAGCUCACUCGCCCAAGACUGUCUGCGGGACCCAAACGUCUAUCCCUCGGGACCCAAACGGCUAUCCCUAUCAUGUGACGACUCCGAAGUGCACUGCUUGUGUGGAGUGACCACACCAAGCUUUGAACAGACAUAUGAGUAUGGUCAAAUCCCCGUCACUGAGGAUACCCUACCACUCUAGACAACAUCACUUGGGAACUAGUUCUCUCCUAAGUUCAACGUUAACUAGAUGCCACUCGUCAAGUUAAAUGUUAACUAGAUGCCACUCGUCAAGUUUGUUGUUCUCAAACAUUAGUUAUACCAUACUAGAUUCUCAUUCACAUAAGCAGGUUCACUUCCUAUCAACUAUCACUUCAUUAUAGGGUCUCAAGUCAUUUGACGUUAAUCUCAUGCAUACUAGAUUUAGGUGAUAAGCAACUCAACUCUACACUAUUCUAUUAGCAUGCAAGAAUAUGUAACAAUUACAUUUAGCACCCUACAAUGCAACAUUACAACAUGUAAUUGAUCGACUCAGCACUUAGACAUAAAGUGUAGCCCGACUGCUUCGGGAUGGCACUCCCCCACCUUUUGGUAACGCCGAAAGGUUAGAAAGCUUGUCUUCGCGGUCUUCGCACGUCGCCUCGGCUCCUCGGGCCAAAACGGACCUUCUAGCACUUGUUUCGGCCGGAACGUCGCACCCGCUCGACGAAUCGACGAACCGUCGCUUCCUACGUGUUCGGAGACACGGCAAUUAGGUUUCUGACCACUCAAAAUAGAUCAUAACCUAAGAUUUACUAAAACCCUAUUUUGGAGCCCUAGGUCGCAAUUCGACAAAAACCCACCAUUAGAACCUUGGAUUUAAACAUAAUCCAUCUAAUUAGCAUCUAGGAAGGCUACUAAAUCCAUUUCUAGAGCAUAAGACCAAAGCCCUAGAGAUCUACCAUUAAAGCUCUCAUUUGGAGCUCUAACUCCUCAUUGUUGCAAAAAGCAACAUCAAGCUAUUUAAUCUUGCAAUAAAUGACAUCAACAACCUCUAGAGCAUCAAUAAAUCCCAUUUCUAGGGUAUUUAAACCUAACCCAAGCCAUUCACCAUGAGAGGGGUUCAUAACCUUACCUCUAAUAAGCUUUUCCCUAAGCAAAUGGAAGAAGAAGGUGAAGAAGAUGAUAAAGCUCCUUCUUCUAGCUCCAAAUCUCCACCAAUCCUUCUCCUUGUCCCACUUCUAGAGAGAGAGGAGAAGCUUCUAGAGAGAGAGAGUGUGUUCUUUUAGGUUUGCAAGUUGAGAGGGAGAGAGCAAAUGAGCUCUCUAUAGCUCAUAUACAUUCUUAUGAUGCUACAAGUGCAAAUAGACCCCUCAACUUCAUGUUUAUUGCAUUGCUCCCGCGGGGGGCCAUUUUGUGUAUAAGGGACCGGUCCCUGGACUUGGGGGACCGGUCCCCGUAGGUCCAAAAUUUCAGCCUUUUGGGACUUAGCCAAAUUUUCAGCUUUUUCACCGUUUCUUCUCCGUUUUCGCCCGUUUUCGCUCGUUUGACCUCCGAUUCUUUUCAAAUCGAACCGAGACUCUCCAAACAUGUUUUCGAGCGUAUUUUCAUCAUCUUUUCAUCCACGCUAAUGCCGGAUUUAACUCAUGGCCCAACAUAGCCUUUCGGGUUUCGUUUUCGCGCCUAUGCGCACCGAAUCGCCCCAAUGCUCCCGAACUUCACCGAACUUCACCGGAACCUUUCAAAUGGCUGACCAACCAAAUGUACACCGUAACUUCAUGAUUUUAGAAGUUCGGUACCUUACAGGUAGUAUCCCCUCUUGUGUCUCAAUUAUAACCUUAAUUAGUAAUAAUAUGAUCCUACUGUCGCCGCCUACGUCGAUAUAUAAUAUCAACACGAUGAACCCGAUGAACCCGAUGAACCUCUGAUAUGGAAGGAACGUCGGAUCGAUGGAGGGAUAAGCGUGAAUAGAAUAUCAAACUGGUGUACCUGUGAUAUAGAUGGAAUAUCAAAUGGAGGGACAGAUGUCGAAGCCUGAGGGAACGAUGCCAAUGGGAUAUUAAAAUGGACUUCCAAUGUCGAGGGGACUUCUGAUGGAUGAAUUGGACUGGAUAUGGAUGGAAAAUCAUAUGUACGUAGGGGUGAAGGUGGAAGGAAUAUCACCAUGAUUAUCAAAGACGGAGAAGGAAUAUCUGGAUACUCUAUCAUUGGUAUGUUGAAACUUUAUUAAAAACUAUGAUCGUACCUUCUGCCAUGAUGUCAAUUCCUAUACCCGAUUUGUAAGCGCCGAUUUGUAAGCGGCGACUUUUGCUCGUGGUUCUUCCUCGUUCGCGAUCUGCAAGAAAACAGGACGUUUCGAGUCUAAUUCCCUUAUCCCCGGAGAUGGAGCCGUCACAGACAAUUGGAUUAGGGCUAGACCGAGACUCCCGUAUGUUACAUAUUUAUAUAUAACUUAAUGUAAGGAUGUUAAACCACGUCCGUUCAUCAAGGACGUGUCUAGAUACAUCCUAACCGUAAGAUCUAUCGUAUCUUUAUAGAUCGACUUAAAUAGAUUGACCGUAUUUUUAUGGAUCGCCUUGAAUAUAUCACGUGGACCACAUCCAACAUUCUCCCACUUGGCCUAGUGAUAUAUUCAUUAUCGUAUAGGCGAUACAAAAACUUUAUUAGGUAGGGUGUGUUUGGUUCCACGUAAAACUAUGGAAAAAAAAUUUUCGGUGGAAAAAAAGUUUUACGUUGUUUAUGUUUGGUUUGCAGGAAAAGAAAAAUAGUUUUCCAUAACGGUUGUUUGGUUGAAAGGAAAAGAAAAAAAAUAAAAAACUAUUUAAUAUAUUUUUUAUUAUAUAUAGUAUUAAUAUAUAAUAAUUAUUAUUAUGUUAUAUACAAAAAAUUAUUAUAUAUAUUUUGCCUAUUAUAUAUAUUAUAUAUUAUUAAUAUAUAAUAAUUAUCAUAAUAUAUUUAAUUAUUAUGAUUUAUAUUAUAACAAGAUAUAUUUAAAAUAUAUUAUAUAAUAAAUAUAUAAUAUAAUAUAUAAGUAAUAAUAUAUCAGUAAUAUAAAAUAAAUAUUAUAAAAUCUAAUAAUAAUUCUUUAUCCCCUCUCUCUCUUUUUAUAUAUAAAAUAUAUAUACACAAUCCAAUAGAAAAAAGAGAGAGAGAGAGAGAGAGAGAGAAUGAGAGAAUACUUGGGUUUGUGGUCCAGCAUGGACCACUCACGCGGUCCACGAGCUUUCACCCUAAGCUCGUGGACCGCGAUACUUUUACUGUGCAUGAGCCGCGAUUUCUCUUCCAAGUUUUCGUUUUCCGCAAAAAUGAGGCGGAAAACGAAAAGCUGAGUUUUCCUUCACAUGUGUAAAAUAAUUUUUCCUUUUACACCAAACCAAACGUCCGGAAAAAAACGUCCGGAAAAAAAAAUUUCAGUCGAAAAAUUUUUUUUCUGCUAGUUUUACAGGGAACCAAAUGCCCCCUUUAUUAAAAACUAUGAUCGUACCUUUUGCCAUGAUGUCGAUUUCUAUACCUGAUUUGUAAGUGGCGACUUUUGCUCGUGGUUCGUCCUCGUUCACGAUCUGCAAGAAAACGGAACGUUUUGAGUCUAAUUCCCUUAUCCCCAGAGAUUGAGCCGUCACAGACAAUUGGAUUAGGGUUAGACCGGAACUCCUGUAUGUUAUAUAUUUAUAUAUAACUUAAUGUAAGGAUGUUAAAUCACGUCCGUCCAUCAAAGACGUGUCCAGAUACAUCCUAACCGUAAGAUCUAUCGUAUCUUUAUAGAUCGACUUAAAUAAAUUGACCGUAUCUUUAUGAAUCGCCUUGAAUAUAUCACAUGGGCCACAUCCAACAUUCUCCCACUUGGCCUAGUGAUAUAUUCAUUAUCGUAUAGGCGAUACAAAAACUUUAUUAGGUACCAACUAAAUUAUACAGUCAAAAUCUCCCACUCGACCAAGAAAUCACAAUACUUUGAUCAUAGCGGUUAUGCCCCUAAAAGAUGAACACUCCCUUCUAUGUAUCGAAAGCACGUAUUUCUUAAUCAAAUAACUUUAUGAGUUACAACCGUAUGAACUUAUUAUAAGUUCAACUAAGAGUCCCACUUUAGUGCACAAUAAUACUUGCCAUGGGGAGCGUAUACUACCACGGGGCCAUUAGGCGCGGCGCAAGUCGGACUACCUUGUGUAGGUCCUUAUGAAUUAAACAAAGUUACCAAAUGGUAUUAAUAGAAUGAUCACUACUAGAUGGUGUACAAUACAAGAUGACAUGAGAUGUUAUUAUGUUAAGUAGUUACUUUACCUACUACAAGUUAGUGGUUGCAUUUAAAAUUACAGUUACCUGUUCAUUGCUUAUCUAUUAAACAUAAUGAAUCCACAAUGUUUCUUGCCACGUGACAAGAAACCCUUCAUUCUUAGGUUAAUAGAUAAUAUCUAUCUCUUAUAUGAAUCCCUAAUAUAAAAUUUACGUUUCUUCUCCACUUCUAAAUGCGUAACCCUUCACCUCUCCAUAUUUAAUUACAUGCAUUAUAUUUCACCAAUUAGUGAGCUUUGUAACUCCAAUCCACUCCCCUCCACUAUUAAUCCUCACUUCUAAAUGCUAUGCUAAACCCUUCAUCUCUCCAUAUUUAAUUGCAUGCAUCAUAUUCUAUCAAUUAGUGAGCUUUGUAAUUCCAAUCCACUCCCCUCCACCAUUAAUCUCCACUUCUAAAUGCUCAACCCUUCACCUCUCCACAUUUAAUUACAUGCAUUAUAUUUCAUCAAUUAGUGAGCUUUGUAACACCAAUCUACUCCCCUCCACCAUUAAUCCCCUCACCCCCUCUUUCUUGCAUGACAUGUUAUUUUUCAUGCAAAAAGAAACAUUAUCAUCUAAUCUCUCACCCCACACUCAUCUCCUUCUCUCUAUCUCAUUGUGUUAACAAAGAUUAUGAGGAUGAUAAAGAAGAAGAACAUGCGAAGAACGUUGUCUCCUUCAAAAAAUAUCGUCCUGUAAAGUCCAGCCGCGGCCCAUAUAAGUGCUCGCUGGGCUGGUCUGCACCGGAGCCGUCGCUCGCCGUGAACCGCCGCCGCCUCGGCUGCCUCCUCGCACGGCUCGCACGCGCCAGCAACUAGGCCGAGGGGAGCGCCGUCCUAGCCUCCUCUUCGCGGCGACAUUGCGUGGGAGCUCGCUUCUCAAGAAUCGCAGGAACUUCUUGGUAAAUCAAAUUGUUUAAGAAUAAGGAUUUCUGUGGUUGAUGUGAUGGCAAGGCUGUAUCGGUUUAGAUAUCGCAGUUUGGUGAUGCAGAUGAGGUGUUUGUUCAUAGGUUACAAUAGAAAUCCAGAAAUGACUCGGCGCGCGGAGCAACUACCAGCUGAAGAUUAAGAAGAUGUAUGAGAUUUGGAUGAGUAAGAGAAGUGCUCCAAAAAAAUAUUAAUUUUUUUAAGAUUGAUGUUUUUUGUUUUAUUUUUAUAUUAUGAUCAUUUUUUUGAGUAGACACUGUUGUGGGCAAAAUUUCUUUCGUAGAUUAAAAAGUAUGAUGCAGAGAUUGGAGCCUGAGACGCCAACCAAAAUUUUCUUAAGCCAGAUACGUUAAGUUAUUAUUUAUGUAUUUCAUAUGCUUCUAGCUAUUAUUUUAUUUUUUUAACAACUGAAUUUAGUCAUGCAAAUUGACUGUGCUUAACAUGAUAUAGCUUCCUAUAAGCUGUAAAUAUAAAUUUUAUUAAAAUAUUAAAAUUUAUUUUUAUUAUCUACCCGCUGCAUCGCGCGGGUCUCUACACUAGUUAUCAUUAUAUUGCAAUCAUGUAGUAGCUGUACUUUUCCUUUUAGCUCAUUAUGAACCUAGUGGUGUAAAUCACUGAGGUCGGCGGCUUACCCACUAGGAACUAUUGUUUAAUAGUUCUCACGUCCUUUUUGUUGUUGCUUUUACAGAGCCAUCCACUACGGGAGAGGCUAGGGAUCGCGGCAAGGGAGUCGCGUCUAGCUAGAUGUAGCGUGGAGUAUUGCUAGGUGAUCACCUCGCUAUUUUGGGCUUGUCGACGAGGGUGAUGUGUACCCAUAUAUAGAGAGACUACCACUUGUACUUUUAGCUUUUGGUGACCCUGUGAUGUAUAUUUAUUGUAGUGAGUUGUACUUCACAGUUGUGUAUCUUUUCUUCUUGUCCUUGCUAGUGGAGUUUAUAUUGGUUUUGCUUCAGCUUUUAGUACAUUUAGUGCCUUAUAUGCUCUGAAGCCAUGUUAGAUUAUUUGUUUGAUUGUUACUUUUCUAA